AAAUUUUAAUUUUUAAUUCAAAUUCAAAUUAAAAUUUAAAAUUAUAAAUUUAAUUUCUAAAUUUAAACUCAUAUUUUAAUUAAAAAAAUUAAAAAAAUAAAUUUAAUCCGAAUAAAUAUCCAUUCAUCCGGAUUCAACUUCCAAUCCGGCUUCCUAGGCUAGAUUGGAAAAAGAGGUGAUUGAGGGAUUCCUAUUCCACUCGGGAAUCGGAAUCGGAAUCAGACUCCCGCAUACCAAAUAUCCACAAAUGAAUUCAUCCAUUCCCAUUCCGAUUCCAAGGUGAAAAAAAAACGAAUCAAACACGUCCAGAAAUUUUUAUUAUACUGAUGCUCUAAUAAAAAUUUCUUCGGAUUCUUUCUUCAAUGUCCUUCUACCUAAAUGCCGAUCUAAGGCCUCGUUUGGUUGGCGGUAUAAGCGGGGAUAACGAAAGUUCUCCCCGCUAUUUUGCCAAACGAAAUAAUAUUUGGUCGAGAUAUUUUAUCCAGGUCAAAUUUUGCUAUUCCCGGCUAUUCUGAAAUAGUAAGGAAUUUACUAUUCUACCAUUUUGAUCGAAUAGUACCAUUUCAAUAUUUAAUUUCAAACUUUAUUAAAAAUUAUAAAUUAAAUUAAAACUAAAUUAUAUAAAUAUAAUAUGUUAUAUAUUAUAAUAUAUUAUUUUUAUUAUAAAAUUAUUAAUUAUACUAUAUUAAUACAUAUUAUUUAUAUUUAAAUAUUAAAUAUUGUAAUAAAUAU
rnacentral:lncRNA from 1 species